UACAGAGGUCUCAAGCGUUGUUCGGAUUCAUUGGGCGUAAAGGGUGCGUAGGUGGCGCGCUAAGUCAGGUGUGAAAUUCCGGAGCUUAACUCCGAAACUGCAUUUGAUACUGGCGUGCUUGAGGACUGGAGAGGAGACUGGAAUUCAUGGUGUAGCAGUGAAAUGCGUAGAGAUCAUGAGGAAGACCAGUGGCGAAGGCGGGUCUCUGGACAGUUCCUGACACUGAGGCACGAAGGCCAGGGGAGCAAACGGG
rnacentral:rRNA from 1 species